AGAGCCUACCAUGGUUUUAACGGGUAACGGGGAAUUAGGGUUCGAUUCCGGAGAGGGAGCCUGAGAAACGGCUACCACAUCCAAGGAAGGCAGCAGGCGCGCAAAUUACCCAAUCCCAAUACGGGGAGGUAGUGACAAUAAAUAACAAUAUGGGGCUCUUAUGGGUCUCGUAAUUGGAAUGAGUACAAUUUAAAUCUCUUAACGAGGAACAAUUGGAGGGCAAGUCUGGUGCCAGCAGCCGCGGUAAUUCCAGCUCCAAUAGCGUAUAUUAAAGUUGUUGCAGUUAAAAAGCUCGUAGUUGAAUUUCGGAGUUUGUCGGUUGGUCGGGCUUCACUGUCCGCACUGACCUGAUGGAUUCCUACCUUCUGAAUAACCAGCAUGCUAUUAAGUUAGUGCGUUGGGGAAGCAGAGCUAUUACCUUGAAAAAAUUAGAGUGCUCAAAGCAUGCUUAUGCUUGAAUAGAUUAGCAUGGAAUAAUAAAAUAGGACGGCAUGGUUCUAUUUUGUUGGUUUCUAGGAUCACCGUAAUGAUUAAUAGGGAUAGUUGGGGGCAUUAGUAUUCAAUUGUCAGAGGUGAAAUUCUUGGAUUUAUUGAAGACUAACUUCUGCGAAAGCAUUUGCCAAGGAUGUUUUCAUUAAUCAAGAACGAAAGUUAGGGGAUCGAAGACGAUCAGAUACCGUCGUAGUCUUAACCAUAAACUAUGCCGACUAGGGGUCGGACGAUGUUAAUUUUUUAAUGACUCGUUCGG
rnacentral:rRNA from 1 species